CACGAGGGCAGAGCCCCAUGAGUGGGUUCCUGAUAAAAGGAUAAGUUCAGCCUCCAUUUGCUCUCUGUUUCUAGUGUUCACUUCCACCUUCCACCCUUUCACUAUGAAGGACCCUCACCAGAUGGUGGCACCAUGCUCUCGGACUUCCCAGCCUCCAGAACUGGACGGGUAAAUUGAAGCAAAAAGCAGACAAGUUCUAUGGGAUUUGCUGGCAUUGAUUUCCCAGGAUGGCAAAGUGCUAAGAACUAAACCUUUAAAGCUAACAAAAUGUACUGAUGUCUUUGCAAAGUAUCCAAGACCAACAAGAAAGUAAUUUCCCACCUCACCCUACCACCACCCAGAAAAGGAGCACAGAGAUGGGGAAGAGAGUGGCUGCAUCUGGCAUCCAGCCAGAGGAGUCCGUGCAGGGAUUCUGGAUCCCUCUUCCCCCACCCCACUGCCCUUCCCCCUCCACCCCAGCGUUUUGGAGAAGCAAGAAACUGUGAUGAUGCAGCUCCCUCAAGUAUCACAUGAAGAUAGUGGAAAGAGCCUCCUGAGGUAAAUAUGCCAUGUAGACAGAAACAAGCAAUGGCUCAACAGCAAUGUAUGAGGUCCAAGGACCAGGACCAAAGGGAAAAACAGCCAUCUCACCAGACACCUGCCUACGACCAGAUGCGUCAUCUCCAAUAUUAGCUAACUCCCUGGAACCUGGACUCAAGGUGUGAAAUAAAGGUUAAUGGGAAACCGCAGGAGUCAAAAGGAGGGGGCAGGAUUAUUGAGGAUUCAGGCUGUUGAGAAAUGAAAGUUUGGAUCACUCCCCAGAUAAAGAACCUUGACCAUUUAAGGGCAAUGGAAAUACAGAAUAGGCAGUAGAAGAAGGAAGCCAUAGAUACCAACUAUGGCCUCUCAAUCAAUUACAAAACUGAGAAUUCUGACAGUUUUGUGUAUUUCCUCUUUGCAUGUGAUGUAUAUGUGUGUAUUUGUAUAUAUUAACCAUUUUCCUUUUUCUCUCUUCAUUAUUUUAUGAAAGUUGUUGAAUAUAAACUCUACAAUUUAGCCUUUAGGUAAGAGAAUAUUCAGUGGGACUUUGAUUUGAGGAGUAUUUAAGACAGCCAGAUGAGACUACGAUAACUGUUGGAACUGUGUGUCUCCUCAUUUGGGGAAAGGGGUGAGAACUCUGCAUUUCUCUGAAGAACAGAGUUGACUUUGUGUUAUACAGAGUUCAAAUAUAUAUAUAAAAUGGUGCAUGUGGAAGCUAAGAAGCCAAAGGAGUUCACCAAGACAGUUAUCAAUAUAUUGCCUCUCCGCUCCAAAUCCACCCUUCUUUGCCCUGUUCCACGAUACUAAUCUGGCUCCUCGGUCAGCCAGUGCAAUGUCAUCUGUUGCUGGUAGAGUGUAGGGGAGACACUACAAGGUAUAGUAAAGGGGUCAGAUGCGGUGUCUCAUGCCUGUAAUCACAGCCCUUUGGGAGGCAGAGGCAGGAGGAUCACCUGAGGCCAGGAGUUUGAGACCAGCCUGGACAACAUGGUAAAACCCCAUCUCUACUGAAAAUACAAAAUUAGCACGCACCUGUAAUCCCAGCUACUCGGGAGGCUGAGGCAGGAGAAUCACUUGAACCUGGGAGGUGGAGGUUGCAGUGAGCCAAGAUCGCAUCAUUGCACUCCAGCCAGGGAAAAAAGGCAAAACUCUGUCUCAAAAAAAUAAAUAAAUAAAAUAAAAU
rnacentral:lncRNA from 1 species